UACGUAGGGGGCAAGCGUUGUCCGGAAUCAUUGGGCGUAAAGCGCGCGUAGGCGGCCCGAUAAGUCCGCUGUAAAAGUCCAGGGCUCAACCCUGGAAAGCCGGUGGAUACUGUCGGGCUCGAGUCCGGAAGAGGCGAGUGGAAUUCCUGGUGUAGCGGUGGAAUGCGCAGAUAUCAGAAGGAACACCGAUAGCGAAGGCAGCUCGCUGGGACGGUACUGACGCUAAGGCGCGAAAGCGUGGGGAGCGAACAGG
rnacentral:rRNA from 1 species